AAAGCUGAAGAGUGUGGUCAAUGCCAUAUUGACGCAUAAAAAGAACAAGUGAGGCCCCCGGUCCAAGUUCCCACUCUUCCUGCUGAUGGCAACGAGAACUUCAAUAGAAUCAGGAAUCAGAAAUGCUGCCAGAUCUGUCAAGUAUUUGCAGCAUUUUUGGAUGCUCAGUCGAGGAGUUUGGAAAAGUUAUGUUCUCACUUUUAAAUUUAUCGCUCCUU